CCUUAAAAAAAAAACCUUCUGACACUGCAGUAGUGAAAAUGAAGCGCACGAUGGGCGGAAGCUAGGAAGACAAACAUAAAGAUGAAGUGCUUAAUUCAAGGUCACACAAUGUCGGGGAUGGACCUCCAGAUUUCCUUACUGGUGAGACGUGGUCUUGUAACACAGUGGUUAAGAAUGUGACUUUGGAGCCAGCCUGCUAGGGGCUGAAUUCUGACUCAGCCAUUUACUAACUGUGUGACCUUAGGGAGGAGGACCUGGUUGAUAGAAGAAUUUAUCUCGUAGUCUUAACAUCCACUGUAAUUCCAAACUUUGAGGACGAUAGAGAUCAGUGGGCUUUGACUGCCCAGCAUGCAGUCUCCAUUCUUAGGUGGGUUCCCAAGCCUGUAAAAUGUAAGCCUUAUGCUGCUGAGGGCCAUCUUGCCACCCUGAGGGAAACGCUGCCUGAGAAUGAAACAAGCAUAAGUAAAAGCUGAGCUGUGAGAUGGAGCAAGAUGAAGGCCACAUGACAUCUUUGGAGCACCUGGAUCUAACUGUGCCUUAAGCUAG
rnacentral:lncRNA from 1 species